rnacentral:rRNA from 1 species
CCUACGGGAGGCAGCAGUGGGGAAUUUUCCGCAAUGGGCGAAAGCCUGACGGAGCAAUACCGCGUGAGGGAAGAAUGCCUACGGGUUGUAAACCUCUUUUAUCAGGGAGGAACAAAAUGACGUGUACCUGAUGAAUAAGCAUCGGCUAACUCUGUGCCAGCAGCCGCGGUAAGACAGAGGAUGCAAGUGUUAUCCGGAAUUACUGGGCGUAAAGCGUCUGUAGGUUGUUGAACAAGUCAACUGUUAAAUCUUGAAGCUCAACUUCAAAAUCGCAGUCGAAACUGUUUGACUAGAGUAUAGUAGAGGUAAAGGGAAUUUCCAGUGGAGCGGUGAAAUGCGUAGAUAUUGGAAAGAACACCGAUGGCGAAAGCACUUUACUGGGCUAUUACUGACACUCAGAGACGACAGCUAGGGUAGCAAAUGGGAUUAGAUACCCCAGUAGUCCUAGCCGUAAACUAUGGAUACUAGAUGUUGAACAGAUCGACCUGUGCAGUAUUAAAGCUAACGCGUUAAGUAUCCCGCCUGGGAAGUAUGCUCGCAAGAGUAGAAACUUAAUGAAUUGACGNNGAGACGNGCGAGACGACGACGAGGGAGAGG